UACAGAGGGUGCUAGCGUUGUUCGGAAUCAUUGGGCGUAAAGGGUGCGUAGGCGGCGCGGUAAGUCGGGUGUGAAAUCUCGGAGCUUAACUCCGAAACUGCAUUCGAUACUGGCGUGCUUGAGGACUGGAGAGGAGACUGGAAUUUACGGUGUAGCAGUGAAAUGCGUAGAUAUCGUAAGGAAGACCAGUGGCGAAGGCGGGUCUCUGGACAGUUCCUGACACUGAGACACGAAGGCCAGGGGAGCAAACGGG
rnacentral:rRNA from 1 species